UUUUCAGUCCGCUCUUAUUACAAGUUUUUGACGGUUCUUCCCACCAAUGCAUUUCCUUGGAAGAGCAUUUGGAGGAGCAAUGCACCCCUUAAAGUUGCCUUUUUUGGCUGGUUGGCAUCCCAUGGGAAGAUAUUGACUAUAGAUAAACUGAAAAAGCGAAGCCUUUACUUAACCGAUUGGUGCUUUAUGUGCAAACACAGCAGCGAAUCAGCAGACCAUCUACUUCUCCACUGCGAUGUAGUCAAGGCUUUAUGGGACGACAUUUUCACUAGGCUUGGUAUUGCAUGGGUGAUGCCCAGGAGGGUCUUGGAUUUAUUGUCAUGUUGGAGAGGGAUUAAGGGCAAUUGUCACAUUGCAGCUGUUUGGAAGAUGGUACCUCUAUGUUUAAUGUGGUGCACAUGGAAUGAAAGAAAUGGCCGAUGUUUUGAAAAUAGGGAACGCUCUCCGGAUAGUUUUAGGGCCUUUUUCUAUCACACUUUGUUGCAUUGGGCUUCUUCUAUUGUAUUGAAUGGGAGGAAUUUUAAUGACUUUUACGCUACUUUCCGUAGAGCGUAGUUUGUAAUUAGGUUUUUUCUUGUACACUUCCCGUGUACUUGGGCAUUGCCUUUUUACGUGGAUUAAUAUAAUUUCUUACUUAUCAAAAAAAAAAAAAAAAAGCUUUCUCCUUAUUGU